rnacentral:rRNA from 1 species
GAGUUUGAUCAUGGCUCAGAUUGAACGCUGGCGGCAGGCCUAACACAUGCAAGUCGAGCGGUAGAGAGAAGCUUGCUUCUCUUGAGAGCGGCGGACGGGUGAGUAAUGCCUAGGAAUCUGCCUGGUAGUGGGGGAUAACGCUCGGAAACGGACGCUAAUACCGCAUACGUCCUACGGGAGAAAGCAGGGGACCUUCGGGCCUUGCGCUAUCAGAUGAGCCUAGGUCGGAUUAGCUAGUUGGUGAGGUAAUGGCUCACCAAGGCGACGAUCCGUAACUGGUCUGAGAGGAUGAUCAGUCACACUGGAACUGAGACACGGUCCAGACUCCUACGGGAGGCAGCAGUGGGGAAUAUUGGACAAUGGGCGAAAGCCUGAUCCAGCCAUGCCGCGUGUGUGAAGAAGGUCUUCGGAUUGUAAAGCACUUUAAGUUGGGAGGAAGGGCAGUAAAUUAAUACUUUGCUGUUUGACGUUACCGACAGAAUAAGCACCGGCUAACUCUGUGCCAGCCG